rnacentral:lncRNA from 1 species
GCCGAGGUCCUCUUCUAGGAUUGGUUGUCCACUCAUAACCAUAAGAUAAUUAAAACGGGGGGGGGCAGGGUAAAAAAAAAACCCUUUUAUCAGCCAUAGGUUAAUGCAAGUGUUUAACAGAUGCUUCGCUAUUAAAAUAUUUCCCCCCAAUACUGAAGAAUCUUAAACCAGCAACCCUAACAGAGAUUGCGAAGAUUUUCAAAGUGGGGCACCUCGAUUUCUCGAAUCUGUGGUGUGGCGAAUAUCCGUGUUCCUCCUGCUUAACUAGCCUGUUUGGCACAGUUCAUUCUCGAGCAAUUCGUCACCUCCUGGGGGUCUUCUCUUCCCGUCUACAGGAGAGUGUGACUUCAGAAAGAACUUCGGAUUGGCCAAGGCAGGUCUGAUUCUAUUUAUUCUAAAGACAGAGUUGGAGAUGGGCUACCAUUGGUGUUGAUUGAGAUGACAAGCAGUCACCUGAGCCCAUACAGCUGGGUUCACAGAUGUGGCUAGUCUUGCUAGCCAGCUCGCACUGUGGACAUUCUAGGGAACUGACUGCAGUCCUCAUGCUUGGAGUCAAACACUUUAACCACUGCACACGUUUAUGUAAUAGGAUUGACAUAUGAGAAUCAGAGAAAUGAAUGAAAGAUUAGAGUGGGAGAAAGUGCUUGCUGCCAAGCUUGAUGACCUAAAUUGAAUACCUGGAACCUACACGACAGAAAGAGAGAGCUGACUGCUGAAAGAUGUCCUCAGAUCUUCACAUGUGCACAGUGGCACCUAUCCAACCAUGCACAUAGUAUAUUAAAAAUUAUUUUUUAAAAAA